rnacentral:lncRNA from 1 species
GCAAAAAGAAUGAAAUAAAGCAAAGUAAAAGUGAUUAGUGCCAAAAGAGCGCAGAGAUGAAUGGAGGUUGAUUUAUAUGAGAUGACUAUGUUGUUCGGGUUUGACUUCACCAAGUUCUAUCUCAUGUAUAUAAGAAUUCUUCUUUAUUCAUUAAUGCCAACGUCCCUCACUAAAACACUUAAACUCGAUCCCUUAGUAAAUAAGCUUGUCC